CAAAUUUUAAAUCUACCUGGUUUCCAGGUCGAGUUGUAAUUUGAAGAAGUGUUUUUUACUUUCCGGGUUGGGUUAAAUCCUUUGGGAUAAGGUAUCAUGGAGGGUGAGAAUCCCGUGUAUACCAACCGCAGGAUYGUUUAAUAUACACUUUCUAAGAGUCGAGUUGUUUGGGAAUGCAGCUCUAAAUGGGUGGUAAAUUUCACCUAAUGCUAAAUAUAAGCGAGAGACCGAUAGCGAACAAGUACCGUGAGGGAAAGAUGAAAAGAACUUUGAAAAGAGAGUUAAAUAGUACGUGAAAUUGUUGAAAGGGAAACGGUUGAAGUCAGUCAUGCCGGCGGGAAUCAACUUAGGGGAAACUCUGAGUGCACUUCUUCGCUUGGCAGGUUAGCGUCGAUUUUGGAUGUCAUAAAAUGACUGGGGGAAGGUAGCUCUUUCGGGAGUGUUAAGCCCUURGUAGAUGUGAUGUCYGGGAUCGAGGAUUGCAACGGAUACCUUUUGGGCUARCCGCCUAGUCUCUAAUACGAAGUUGGGUUAUGGACAGCACGCUGACUGUGAUCUGAUUUUCGGUUAAAAGAUUAG
rnacentral:rRNA from 1 species